rnacentral:lncRNA from 1 species
GUUCAACAUACUGUUGGUAUGUUUCUACAAGCGCCUUUUUCUCUUUGCGGUAGCGGUGAAUGAUCAAAUGAAACAAGUCCUUCUCUAGCAUUUACCAAAUUAGAUCAGCAAUGGAUUUUUCAAUUGAUUUUCAUGGCGAUAGUGAACUUGCGGCCAAACAGCUUGACCCAGUAAACGAGGAUUUAUUUAAUAAUGAUUCAAUAGUAGAGAAAGAACUCCAAGAAGCAAUAGAAUCCUUGGCAGAUGGCACUAAUGCUGUUGCAGAUCCUAUUGUCGAUGAUGUCAUUUCUUCGAUUCCCCUCCCUAAUGGAACUGACGGUCUUGAAGAUAUUCUUUCCGAUGAAGACUAUGGAGUUGAACUAGAAGAGACAGACAAAUUCGCCGGUGAAGCAGUAGCCUCUGAGGCAGCUGAAGCCCCUGAAGAAACUGGAACCCCUGAGGAAGCUGUUGUUGAGGGUUAUGAGGAGAAUGUCGCAGAAGAAGGUACUGCACAGAACGAUGAUAGAACUGAUGAAGCUCUAGAGCCUGAACAGGAGGUACACUCAGAGGAAAAGGCGGAAGAUGAAAAGGGCAAUCUUCCAGAAGAUUCUAUGCAAAAAGAGCCCAUAGCAGAGUCAGAGACUGAAGUGGCAAAUGAACCCUCACCUAAAAAUCUCCAAGAAGCAAAAAACCAAAGGCAGACAAGUCUGCAGAUGAAAGCAAUGAAGAAUCACCCCUGAAAGUUUCACCAAGAGCCCGAAGAAAGCCAGGUGAGUCUGACCGCGAACAAACGGAUGAUGAUUCUAAAUCUGAAUCAACCUCACCAAAGAGAGUCACCUCUAAAAGUAAGAAAAGAAAUGUUGAGCAGUCAGGAGAUGAAAGCAGCAUAGAAUCACCACAAAAAGUUUCGCCAAGAGCCCGCAAAAAACCAGUUAAGCUCGCCAACGUCAAUGAGUCUGGAGAAGAGAGCAGUGAGCAGUCACCGCAGAAAGUCUCUCAGCGGGUGCGAAAAAAACCUGAAAAGCUGGAGUAUGAGGAUAGCUUGAAGAAAAGCUCUAGAGAAUCAGUGAGUCCUGCAAAGAGGGGUAGACCGAAAAAGGAAAUACCCUCCGAGUCGGAUAAGGUUAGCUCUGACUCAGAUGUGCCACUGUCGAGAAAGAAGAAACGGGCGUUGUCUGGCAGUGACAGAGAAUCUGUGUCUAGUUCUAAAACAAGCUCUACGCUUAAAAGCAGAAAUGAAAAGAGGAAAAGGACCAGUGGCAGUGAAACGGAUGACACCACCCAUUCACCAGUUAAAAAGUCGAGCAGAUUGUCUAACGGUCGCACCCGGGAAAGUAGUAGUCCAAUACAAUUUUUGUCUCCAGAAGAAGCCCUUGAAGUCUCACCUGUCGUUCAACUCGGUCCAAAAGUUGAAGGCACAAGUGCUUUGUUCAAUGGAACUGCUAAAAGAAAUGGUUCAAUGUCUCCACCAAAGCCUAGCGCCACCAUUAAAGGGACCAAGUCCAAAAAGAGCAAGUCCACGCCAAAAGAGGUUGAAUUACCCUUAGACAAGAACGACAAGCUCAUUGAGAAACUGAAGGGCUACGUUUCGAUGUCUGGUCACAGAAUCCAGAACUACAAAACUUUCUGGGAAGACUGCCCCUCAAAACAGAUGAAAAUCAACAAACUGAAAAAAUUUCUGAUAGAGCAUGGAGUGAAAGUUGAAGCUCUUGACGAGGAAGACACAAGUGAUAUGGGGAAAAAAUCCCGUAGAGAAAAAAGUUCCCCUGAAGAAAAAAUAACUGAAGUGAAAAAGGUACCAAUUACAGAAGAGGACCAAGUAGGAUUCAUCAAAAUUGAAGUGCUGCGCGGUCAAACCCAAAGUGCUAUUCAUUCCACGCUGGCUAAAGUUUGUGGGGAAUUGGCCUUGCCAACAAGCCAAAUCUCUACAAUCAUUCGGAGUUUUAAAAAAGAAAUCCAGUGAUCGUCUGCUUCAUUCAUCAGGAAGAUGGAGUUAUAAAAAGGUGAAAAAAGCAAUAAAGAAAAAAAAAACUUGCUGAUGAAGUUGCAGAAUUAAACUGCGAUGUCAUCAUAUCAAAGGGUAAGCACAGUGUUUCAUUCAAUACUAUUUCCAUGAUAAUUAAGGCACGUGAUCAAAAUUAAAUGAACAACUUUUUAGAAGAUUUUAAAGUGACGAGUUAGUAUUUAAAAGAAGAUUUUAAAGUGACGAGUUAGUAUUUAAAAGUUGAAUUCGAAUUUCGUAAGGCU